GAUCUGUCAUCUCUGCAGUUCUGGUUUGUACAUUCAUGAAAGCUAAGUGGGUUCAUGCAAACAUCCUGUGUUGCAGCAUCAGAGAUGUUCUGGGGAAAAAGUGACACCAGGUCUGAGUGAGGUGUUGUCGAGAAGCUCCUGAGGAAAGCUGGUGGAUAUCUACAUGGGAGAUAUGAAGUGACACACAAGAAAGCCUGGGCAUGUAAGAAGCUUGGAAAUCAUCACUCAUGUAUUUACAAGAAGAAAAAAACUGAACAAACUGAAAAUCAUUGGCUCUCCAUCAACACUCAGAGGACUGAAGCUGCAUGGCAAUUUGACACCCUGAAAUCUGGAGAGACAGAUGGAUACAGAGAGUCACAGCCAAGGUCUCACCGGGAGCAGAUGCCUCUGGAGCCACAAACUGUGCUAUAAAGACAUACCAGAGAGGGUAAUUUAUAAAGAGAAGAGGUUUAAUUGACUUGCAGUUCUGCAUGGCUUGGGAGGCCCCAGGAAACUUACAAUCAUGGCAGAAGGGAAAGAGGCACCUUUUACAUGGCAACAGUUUCUAUGAAAAUCAUCUUCCUAGAAAUAGAAGAGCAUGACAAUAACAAGCCUUAAACCUAAGUUAAGAAACCUGAAUCCUAGUUCUGUCUGUGUCAUCAACUAUGGACCUUGGUUCUCCAAGGAUACAAAGAUGAAUGGAUGAGGGUGGCUCUGUUCAGUUGGAGUACAUUUAAGAAGAUGAGGCAUCUCCCUCGUGGUAAAGGAAUUCAAGGAAUGUGUGAAAUAUUUCCUUCUUUUUAAGAAUACACAGUUAUUUGGGGCUGAGAUAUACCAUGGAACUUGAGUAAGACCCAUGUAUUCAUACCAAAUGUAUGCCAAAGGAUAAA